ACGUAGGCAGCAAACGUUGUUCGGAAUUACUGGGCGUAAAGAGUGUGUAGGCGGUUUUGUUAGUUUGGUGCGAAAUCUCCCGGCUUAACUGGGAGGGUGCGCCGAAUACUGCAAGGCUUGAGUACUGGAGAGGAUAGCGGAAUUCCUGGUGUAGCGGUGAAAUGCGUAGAUAUUGGGAGGAACACCAGUGGCGAAGGCGGCUCACUGGACCGGUUCU
rnacentral:rRNA from 1 species